UCCGAAACUUUAUUUGUGAAUGAUUCUCCUGAAAUAAGCAACUACGAGUGAAAAGUAAAUAAAAAUACUGGCUUAAAAAGACAGAAACUUGGGAGAAAUGAGAGAAAUGACUUAAGAAGCAGAAACUUUUACAUGGGUCCCAACCCACUACUAAACAGAAAAAAGACAAAGACCAUCAUUAGUAUGAAAAAACUUUAUUAUCUAAGAAUUAUACAGAAAGUUUGUGAUAGUCACAUUUCUAUCUGAAAUUGAAUCUGCAUCAUCAAUACAUUUUCUAAUAUCCUAAAAAACAAAAACCUUCUCAAAGAGUGUUAGAUUCUUUUUAAAAAAUCACACAGGUAAAAAUAGUUUCAGUUUAGAGUAAAAUUAACAAAGUCAAUGCAGGUGUUUUAACAAAAAAUGAACACAUCCCAGGCAUCAUAACUUAGAAAAAAACUCUGCAACAUCUGAAUUGUUGCCAUCAUACAAUCAACAGAGAUGGGGGGCUAGCGUACCGUUGAGUGUUGGAGAGGACAGACGGACAGCAGAAGGAAGAGGAGGUCUGACUGUAUGCUAAAGUUACAGAUGUUUAAAGAUUAUUUAUCAGGUGUUGUCCACGUGUGCCAAAUGGAGACGCCAAAAUGAUAUUUCUUUUUUGUGCUAUUUUGAUCCGUCUUCAAAUUCACAAGCAGAAUUGUAUUGUAUUUUACUGUCAACAUUCAACAUUCAAUUUGCAUUUACAAGAAAUAAAAAUGAAAAAUCUGGGUGAAGCAAUAUUUUUAAUUUUUUUGUGUUAUAAACGUAAUAGCUACAAACUACUUACAGUUAAAGUAUUUUUAACUGCAAAAAAAAUUGCUUAUAGUCUUCAUAAAGAGACAGUUUUUGUAUAUACUCCAAAUGGUUCUAUAACAGCAGCUGAUUUAAUUUGCGUACACCAUUAUGGAUUUUUGGUGAUUUAGAAGGUGAGGGUUAAAAGGUUAAAA